GGAUGGCUCAGCUGGUAAGAGCGUGAGACUCUUAAUCUCAGGGUUGUGAGUUCGAGUUCCACCUUGGGCA